UUGAGAGUUUGAUCCUGGCUCAGAACGAACGCUGGCGGCAGGCCUAACACAUGCAAGUCGAGCGAGAACUUCGGUUCUAGCGGCGGACGGGUUAGUAACGCGUGGGAACGUGCCCUUCUCUGCGGGAUAGCCACUGGAAACGGUGAGUAAUACCGCAUACGCCCUUUUGGGGAAAGAUUUAUCGGAGAAGGAUCGGCCCGCGUUAGAUUAGAUAGUUGGUGGGGUAACGGCCUACCAAGUCUACGAUCUAUAGCUGGUUUGAGAGGAUGAUCAGCAACACUGGGACUGAGACACGGCCCAGACUCCUACGGG
rnacentral:rRNA from 1 species